CGCCGGACCGGUGGACCGGAGCUCGAUGUCAUAUUCUAUGCUCUCUCUCUCUCUUGAGAGGCCGGAUCUGCUCCUCACACAGGGCGCCUCUCUCUUGAUAAUCUGGUUUUUCAAAAAUGGAUUAAAAGAUCGAAACUUGCAUGUACGUUGAUGAGUCUCCUCUCCAUUUUGAUCGUAAAUGUAUUCAGUCUGUUCGAGUUUUGUAGUUACUUUUUUUUCCCUGUGUUCAGUUUGACCUAUAAAGAAGCUCCGUUGCUUGUGAAGUAGGAGAAUCAAGAAGUGCCAUUAGGUUGAUUACUGGAGAAAGCGAGAAAUUCUGUAAGACGCUGUGAAGACUGCGUUUUGAGUGAACAACUGGUCCUUCAAUUGAAAACUUAUAUUUAGACAUUUUCAAUGGCGGAGGAAAAACUGAGCAAAAAAAGCAGGACGCGACGGCAGCGAGUGAUCACGGAAGAGCGGAGGGCAAUGAAGCGCCUUUGGGAAAGAAAACGGCUAUUGCGGAUGACGGAGGAAGAGAAAGAACGGUUAAGAGAACGGCGUCGGAGUGCACAGAGGCUGCGGAGGAAGCGGAUGUUGGAAGAACAGCGAGAGGAGAAACGGGAGGUUGGGAACGAGCACAGAAUGCAAAUGCCAGCUGAGGAGCAUUGGCAGGAUUCGAUUCAGUGGCGUCUAGGAGAGUUAACUGAAGGAGGGAAAGAUUCCAAGAGUGGUGGUAGUGCAGAUGCUCGAGCCUAUUCCACGGUCGGUGAACGUUCAGAAGAAGAUGCAGAGUAAAAUAUAAAGUGAAAUCUGUCUGGCAUUGCUUGUAGACCACUUGGGAAAGGAUCAAAAUCAAGGUACAAGUACAACCUGCUUGGAAGCCAAUGUUGGAGCUGAAAAUUCGUCUGCCCCAGUGCGAGGAAAAAUGCGUUUGAAUUGGAUGAAAUGUCAAGCUCGGCUAAGAAAGACCCAACUGCUACAAAGUGCAGAUGAAAUGGAAAUGUUAAGUGGGGAUCGAGUUGAAGGAGCAACCCCUUCCAAUAAAGUUCUUGAUCAUUUGCGGCGACAACAAGAUGCAGAGAAUGAAGGAGCUCACACUGAAGCUAGAUGCAACAUCUUAUCCCUGAAAGGAAGAAUUCGGUUGAGUUAUGUAAGAUCCCAAGCUCGGUCAAAGAAUACUUUACCAAAGGAAAGUGCAGAUGGAAGAACCAUCUAAAUAUCAGAGAGAGAGCAAGAUGGAUUAGAUUGGAGGUGACCACAUUGCUUUCUCUCCUUGUCAUUGUUGUGUCUAUUUUCCUAUCCUGAUAUAAUGACUGCAACUCAAUGCUGUCACCGGGUAAUAAUAGCAUUUCAGGGCUGUGAAGAAUUUCAAAUUUGUGAAGCAAUGACUGGAUUAGUAUCAUUUUGGAAAAAUUAUGACGAUGCAAGUUUUAGCCUUUUCUUUGUAAAGGCUACUUAUAUGUUGAUACUUGCUUAGAAUACAAAUUCAGUGAUCACUAUUUUUAAGGGGAUGAACAUUUCAAAAUUCAGAAGGGCAGAAUAGCAGAAAAUUUUGUGAGUACUACAAUGCUAGUAUUUUUAAAGCCAAUUAUACUGGACAUCUCACCAUAUAAAAGACAUUACAUGGCUAUCCUAUGAGAAGUACACCCAGACGUUAUGAAGCUGUGGCAAAAGGGCAUGUUGAAUGCUUCGUGCAUGAAGGAAAAGUUUGGAUAACAUCUCUAUAUGAGCACUUUUUAUUUAGUUCUCAUUGUAGUUUUGUGGUACGCCUUUAUCUAGUUGGCAGUAUCCCCAGAAGCUAGAAUAUGGAAAACUAUUGCUCAUCCCAAGGUUGCAUUUUUUUUUUUUGCUAUGGACAGCAACUUUGGGGAACUGCAUAACAGCAGACAACCUUGCUGGCAGAUGUGUAAUUUGUGAAGAGGCUUCAGAAGAACAAAAUCAUUUUUUUCAUACAUUGCAAGUUGGCAAGAACCCUAAUGGGUUUCUUUGACAUCCAGUUCUGUUUCCCAGAGACUUUGGAGGCGCUAUUGUGGUGAAGGCAACUGAGGUGCUUAUCCAAAAAAGGACACAUUCUUUGGGGUCUAGUAACCUCUGGUGUGUUAUGGACAAUAUAGGCAGAAAGUAACAGGAGGCUGUUUGGAAAUAAACACAAUACAGAAGAUAACAUUCUGAAAGUUUUAUGGGGUAGAUUGUAUUCGUGAGUUGAAAGCUCACAAGUUUUUCAAGAACUUGUCUUAUAGCUCCUUUUUUUAGUACAGAACUCUUUUUGUAUCUAUGCACGCAGAACAGAUAUUGUACAGAAAGACUGAUGUUCCCUGCACAGUGCUCUAUUCACCAGGGCUUUGUUCUCUUUUUGAUCUGUUAGGCUCAGUUUGGAAGGAGUACA